rnacentral:rRNA from 1 species
CUCGAGGCCAGAUCUAGAGUUUGAUCCUGGCUGAGAACGAACGCUGGCGGCGUGCUUAAGACAUGCAAGUCGGACGGUAAGGCCCCUUCGGGGGUACACGAGUGGCGCACGGGUGAGUAACGCGUGGGUAAUCUACCUUCGGGUCUGGGACAACUCCGGGAAACUGGAGCUAAUACCGGAUGAGGCCACGAGGUCCUCGGACCUUGCGGAAAAAGAUGGCCUCUUCUUGAAAGCUAUCGCCUGUCGAUGAGCCCGCGUCCCAUUAGCUUGUUGGUGAGGUAACGGCUCACCAAGGCAAUGAUGGGUAGCUGGUCUGAGAGGAUGAUCAGCCACACUGGAACUGAGACACGGUCCAGACUCCUACGGGAGGCAGCAGUCGGGAAUUUUGGGCAAUGGGCGCAAGCCUGACCCAGCUACGCCGCGUGAGGGAUGAAGGCCUUCGGGUCGUAAACCUCUGUCGGGAGGGAAGAACGUGCUGCGGGUGAACAAUCCGCGGGACUGACGGUACCUCCAAAGGAAGCGCCGGCUAACUCCGUGCCAGCAGCCGCGGUAAUACGGAGGGCGCAAGCGUUGUUCGGAAUUACUGGGCGUAAAGCGCGUGUAGGCGGCUUGGUAAG